AAUUUUAUUUUUAAGUAAAAAAGCUUAAAUUUUUUUAGGGGACGAGAAGACCCUUUAGAAUUU
rnacentral:tRNA from 1 species